rnacentral:rRNA from 1 species
UUUAUGGAGAGUUUGAUCCUGGCUCAGGAUGAACGCUGGCGGCGUGCCUAAUACAUGCAAGUCGAGCGAACAGACGAGGAGCUUGCUCCUCUGACGUUAGCGGCGGACGGGUGAGUAACACGUGGAUAACCUACCUAUAAGACUGGGAUAACUUCGGGAAACCGGAGCUAAUACCGGAUAAUAUAUUGAACCGCAUGGUUCAAUAGUGAAAGACGGUUUUGCUGUCACUUAUAGAUGGAUCCGCGCCGCAUUAGCUAGUUGGUAAGGUAACGGCUUACCAAGGCAACGAUGCGUAGCCGACCUGAGAGGGUGAUCGGCCACACUGGAACUGAGACACGGUCCAGACUCCUACGGGAGGCAGCAGUAGGGAAUCUUCCGCAAUGGGCGAAAGCCUGACGGAGCAACGCCGCGUGAGUGAUGAAGGUCUUCGGAUCGUAAAACUCUGUUAUUAGGGAAGAACAAAUGUGUAAGUAACUAUGCACGUCUUGACGGUACCUAAUCAGAAAGCCACGGCUAACUACGUGCCAGCAGCCGCGGUAAUACGUAGGUGGCAAGCGUUAUCCGGAAUUAUUGGGCGUAAAGCGCGCGUAGGCGGUUUUUUAAGUCUGAUGUGAAAGCCCACGGCUCAACCGUGGAGGGUCAUUGGAAACUGGAAAACUUGAGUGCAGAAGAGGAAAGUGGAAUUCCAUGUGUAGCGGUGAAAUGCGCAGAGAUAUGGAGGAACACCAGUGGCGAAGGCGACUUUCUGGUCUGUAACUGACGCUGAUGUGCGAAAGCGUGGGGAUCAAACAGGAUUAGAUACCCUGGUAGUCCACGCCGUAAACGAUGAGUGCUAAGUGUUAGGGGGUUUCCGCCC